rnacentral:rRNA from 1 species
GACGAACGCUGGCGGCGUGCUUAACACAUGCAAGUCGAACGGAAAGGCCCUGCUUUUGUGGGGUGCUCGAGUGGCGAACGGGUGAGUAACACGUGAGUAACCUGCCCUUGACUUUGGGAUAACUUCAGGAAACUGGGGCUAAUACCGGAUAGGAGCUCCUGCUGCAUGGUGUGGGUUGGAAAGUUUCGGCGGUUGGGGAUGGACUCGCGGCUUAUCCGCUUGUUGGUGGGGUAGUGGCUUACCAAGGCUUUGACGGGUAGCCGGCCUGAGAGGGUGACCGGCCACAUUGGGACUGAGAGACGGCCCAGACUGCUACGGGAGGCAGCAGUGGGGAAUAUUGCACAAUGGGCGGAAGCCUGAUGCAGCAACGCCGCGUGCGGGAUGACGGCCUUCGGGUUGUAAACCGCUUUCGCAUGUGACGAAGCGUGAGUGACGGUAAUGGGUAAAGAAGCACCGGCUAACUACGUG